UACGGGGGGAGCAAGCGUUGUUCGGAUUUACUGGGCGUAAAGGGCGCGUAGGCGGCCAGCACAAGUCAGUUGUGAAAUCUCCGGGCUUAACUCGGAAAGGUCAACUGAUACUGUGCGGCUAGAGUGCAGAAGGGGCAACUGGAAUUCUCGGUGUAGCGGUGAAAUGCGUAGAUAUCGAGAGGAACACCUGCGGCGAAGGCGGGUUGCUGGGCUGACACUGACGCUGAUGCGCGAAAGCCAGGGGAGGCAAACGGG
rnacentral:rRNA from 1 species